CCCGCGGCGCGCCAGCAGCACUGCGCGCAGGUGCGCAGCCGGCGCCUCAUGAAGGAGCUGCGGGACAUCGCGCGCCUCAGCGACCGCUUCAUCUCCGUGGAGCUGGUGGACGAGAGCCUGUUCGACUGGAACGUGAAGCUGCACCAGGUGGACAAGGACUCGGUGCUGUGGCAGGACAUGAAGGAGACCAACACCGAGUUCAUCCUGCUCAACCUCACCUUCCCCGACAACUUCCCCUUCUCGCCGCCCUUCAUGCGGGUGCUCAGCCCGCGCCUGGAGAACGGCUACGUGCUGGACGGCGGCGCCAUCUGCAUGGAGCUGCUCACGCCGCGCGGCUGGUCCAGCGCCUACACGGUGGAGGCCGUCAUGCGCCAGUUCGCCGCCAGCCUGGUCAAGGGCCAGAUGGUAGCUUUGCUGCAAAGAACCCCCAGAGAACCUGAGAGCAGAGCAUGAAUGAACCUUCUGAAAUCCCUUCCCCGAGCUGCAGGCAGAGGUGUGGUGGUUUUCUCUUCCCAAGCUAUACGCUCUUGAUCACGUUCAGGGACGACUCUGGGGACAUGGGGCGGAGGAAUAUCAUUUUGCCUUAUAAUCAUAGAAUCAUAUCAUUUAUAUUUGGAAGCGAUCCCAGAGGUCACGUGGACCUCAGCCUGCAUUUUGAAAGAUGCAGGAAAAUAAAGAUUUCAAAUGACAAGUAAGGACUUUUUUUUUCUAAGAUCUGUCUUAGUAAGUUGUUAAAUAAAUAUUUGCCAUGUUCACAUCAAUGCUGUGAAUGAUCGUUCUGUUGGUGCCUGGGCACUUCUAUUAAAUUUGGCAAGUCCUUGGGUACAUAUUUAUUUUCUCUGUAACCCAAAUUGAGAAUCUUCAUACAGUUGGC